AACAACAUAUUAUUUACAAUUAUACAUAUUAUACCAUAAAAAUUUUCAGUUGGAGCUUGGAGGAGUAGAUUUUCAAAAAUUUAGGUUAAAUUUUUUAGGAGUAGAUUCGGUUGUAAAAAUUUUUUUUAGCAAUUAUUAAUAAUUAUCCGAUAAAUAGGAUGACAUGUCAUUUUUAUCAAUUUAUAUUAUAUGACAUGUCAUUUUUUACUAGGUAAAUGGGAUGACAUGUCGUUUUUUUAAUCAAAAUUUCGUCAAUCUUAAAAGACUAGAUUACCUUUAUGAUGUCAGCGCUUGCAAACAGAAGUUAACGGAUUGGUGGACGGCAGAAGUGUUUUGUCAACUUAGAGUAUACUAGUGAUACACUUAAAAAGUGUUCACACACGUUUGAUACGGGUGUCAUUUAAAAGUAUAUACCUGAUAAUUUCCCUUAACUAUAUAUGACUUUCCGUCUCGAGAGAUAUUCUGCUCAUGACCAAUAAAUAACCUAUAUGAAUAAUUU
rnacentral:lncRNA from 1 species